UGCAAGUCGAGUGCGCGUCCGUAGCAAUACGGAUGGCGCACGGCGCACGGGUGCGUAACACGUGGGCAAUCUGCCCUUCGAUGGGGAAUAACUCCGGGAAACCGAAGCUAAUUCCGCAUAACAUUCCUUGGACCCCGGUCCGGGGACUCAAAGCCGUAAGGCGUCGAAGGAGGAGCCCGCGCCCGAUUAGCUAGUUGGUGAGGUAACGGCUCACCAAGGCAAUGAUCGGUAGCUGGUCUGAGAGGAUGGCCAGCCACACUGGAACUGAGACACGGUCCAGACUCCUACGGGAGGCAGCAGUGGGGAAUCUUGCGCAAUGGGCGAAAGCCUGACGCAGCGACGCCGCGUGGGGGAUGAAGCAUCUCGGUGUGUAAACCCCUUUCGACUGGGACGAAUACCUCGCAAGAGGGGUGACGGUACCAGUAGAAGAAGCCCCGGCUAACUACGUGCCAGCAGCCGCGGUAAGACGUAGGGGGCCAGCGUUGUUCGGAAUUACUGGGUGUAAAGGGUUCGUAGGCGGUGUGGCAAGUCGGGAGUGAAAUCUAUGGGCUUAACCCAUAGGCUGCUUCCGAAACUGCCGUGCUUGAGUGUGGGAGAGGCGCGUGGAAUUGCAGGUGUAGCGGUGAAAUGCGUAGAUAUCUGCAGGAACACCCGUGGCGAAAGCGGCGCGCUGGACCACUACUGACGCUGAGGAACGAAAGCUAGGGGAGCAAACAGGAUUAGAUACCCUGGUAGUCCUAGCCCUAAACGAUCAGGACUUGGGGUGCCACCCGUUCGGGUGUCGUCCCGGAGCUAACGCGUUAAGUCCUGCACCUGGGGAGUACGGUCGCAAGACUGAAACUCAAAGGAAUUGACGGGGGCCCGCACAAGCGGUGGAACAUGUGGUUCAAUCGACGCUACGCGAGGACCUUACCUGGGCUCGAAAUGCUGGUGACCAGCUGUAAAAUACGGCCUUCCCGCA
rnacentral:rRNA from 1 species